UACGAAGGGGGCAAGCGUUGUUCGGAAUUACUGGGCGUAAAGGGCGCGUAGGCGGUGUACUAAGUUAGGCGUGAAAGCCCGGGGCUCAACUCCGGAAUUGCCUUUAAAACUGCAUCGCUAGAAUUGUGGAGAGGUAAGUGGAAUUCCGAGUGUAGAGGUGAAAUUCGUAGAUAUUCGGAAGAACACCAGUGGCGAAGGCGACUUACUGGACACAUAUUGACGCUGAGGUGCGAAAGCGUGGGGAGCAAACAGG
rnacentral:rRNA from 1 species